AGCGCCUAAAGAUAGAUCUCUUUAGUUUUCCCAUGAUUUAUCACAGGCGAGUUCACAGCAGGUUAAAAUAAUUGAAUGUGCUGAUAGCAUGCAUAUUGGCAUGGUUUUAUGAGCAGUCGUUCAUAACAUAUUUGUCACGAAGCAUAGCUUCCAGGAUGGAACCCUGAUCCGCAGGCAGUUUUAGCCUCCACGACGCAGUGGAAUUAACUCCUCUGUGGAGCCUGGCCACGUCGUCACGGUGUCCGGCCCCCAGCUAGAGCUGCGGGGAGAAGGAUCAAGGGAAUGACUGGUCCGCCAAACAAACCCGGCCGCAGCUCGCCUGAAGUCCACGUUGUAGCCUGGAAAAGGCUGGAUGAGUGUUUGCUCACCACUGGACAUAAAAAAUAAUCUGCAUGUUUGAAAAGGAUACGCUGAACUCGUGACCUGUAAUAAACGGUUAGUGCUUAGUCUUUAAAAUGCAGGUGCAGUGGUGUGUCUGUCUUCAAAACUGCCAAUCAGCAAACCCAAAUACAGCAGCAACAGCAAAAAAAAAAAAGGAGACACAAACCCUUUAGAAACAUUCGUUCUAGCUUCUUUCUCAAAGCUCUACUCAAGUAGGUAUCAGUCUACAGGGUCUGUUUCUCCUUUUCCAACAGGGCAAAAACAAAACUUGCAAAGUCUAAAUACCUUAACACUGAAAACCUCUUGUUUCUAUGAUUAGAAUUAACUCAAGCAUGGAUCAUUCCACAUUGAUACUGCCAGUGGAAUCUUUAGAAGAACCUCAGAUGCGAGCCAAUGCAAACCUGUGAGUUGGGGUUUGCUCCCCACCUGUAGUACCACAUCCAGCCUGGAGGCACUGAGUUCUUUCGAGGAAAGUCUGGUCUCCUGUCACUGGGGGCUGUUUCAAGGAUGUUGACCCUGCCCCUCCUUUGGAAUCGCUCUGGCUAUUUCUACGACAGAAAAUAAUUCUCUCCCAAAGGAUCACCAUUCACAGAUGCUAAUAGGUAGCAUUGGUAGGGCUCUUUAAAAUACAUGAUGUGCUUCUCGGGGCGCCUGGGUGGCUCAGUCUGUUAAGUGACCGACUUAGGCUCAGGUCAUGAUCUUGUGGUUCAUGAGUUCAAGCCCCACGUCAGGCUCUGUGCUGACAGCUCAGAGCCUGGAACCUGCUUCGGAUCCUGUGUCUCCCUCUCUCUCUGCUCCUCCCCCACUCAUGCUUUGUCUCUCUCUCUCUCAAAAAAAAAAAUACAUAAAUAAAAUAUAUGAUGUGCUUCUCUGCACUUUAGCCUUGCCUGGGUUGGUUGAUGCCUACGCAACAUUGUUAUCACCACCACCAUUAUGGUCACCAUCAUAGCUCUCCUUUUUUGGGAGCCUCCCAUGUGCCGGGCUUUGUCCUGAGAACGUUAUAUGUAUUUAUCUGUUGAAUCCUCCUCCUAACUUUACAACCUAGGUAUCCUCAUCUUCCAGACAAGGAAACUGAGACAUAAAGAACAGAGCCCAAGGUCACACAGGUAGGAAAAGGUAGAGCCAAGGAAUGACACUCAGGCAUCUGACUCCAGAACCCACGUCCUUUGCCUUAAAUAGCCGCCAUGCUGCUACUACCCCUGAACACAAGAGGAAGAAUUUCACUGCCAAUGGCUCCAUGUUUCCAUAAACUUCUUUCCAAAUUCAACCCCUCAGCCGACGUGUAAACUUUAUUGAAUCUUUUAGGAUUCUCCUUUGGUGGCUUUUAACACAUUUUCUGCCAAGCACACUAAAAGAUACUCCAGCCCCAUGUCUGGAAAGCCUGAGACACAGUUACCAUUGUUUCGCUUUAGGUGAUAAUAUAACAAAACCCUGGUUUUGUGUAUAUGCCGGUGAGCGUGAGGUAGU